rnacentral:misc_RNA from 1 species
UCUGCUGGCUCUUCGGAGCGAAGCUCGUUCGUAAUACAUUAGCAUUUCUAAUUCGAAUUCGGAUUGACUCAGUGUAAUAGACUAUUUCGCUGAGGACACUUUUUAUUAAGUGGCCGUAUUUAAACCAAGGAAAGCUUCUAAUCCCUCUAGUCACCUUUAGAUUAGACCUCAAAUCAGGUAGGAUUACCCGCUGAACUUAA